ensembl:snRNA U6 U6 spliceosomal RNA
GUGCUUGCUUCAGUAGCACAUAUACUAAAAUUGGCCCCUGCUCAAGGACAACAUGCAAAUUCGUGAAGCAUUCCAUAUUUUA